GUGAAGAAGACAUGCCUUUGAUUGCUGGUGUAACAAUACAACACAAAAUGUGGCCUUGUUGAAGUGGGUGAUAUAUGAGCCACACUGAGAACCUCAGACCUCUCCCUUUGGUUCCCCUACCUUUCAAUGGCUUAAUGAGAGGUUCCUGAAUCACAAUGAAGCAGCUUUUAAUAAAAAAGUCACAGAGUCCAAGACAGUGCCUGGCAUAUUGAAGGCAUUUUGAAAUAAAUGCUUACUGAUUGACUGAUAUCAUCAAUAUUUCUACUGGAAAAGGUGAAAAGUUGAGCAUAGGGAAGGUUAUUCUUUAAUCUAAGGAACAGAAUAUAUAAAAGGAUAAAUGGAAUAUGCUCUGGUAAGGAAUUCUCAGAAACAACAAAGGGAAGGAACAGGAAGAAUGGGUUUCUUUUAAUAAAAGUGAUGGGAAAUUUCAAAGGAAUUGGUCUCUUUAUCUUAAAAUUUGUGAUAGAGGAUAAGAAAUCUAUUUAACAUGCACUAAAGGGUCUGGCAGAACAUUUUUCAAAGAGUUCAGAGAAAAAGAAAUGUAGGAUUACCAUGGCCAAAAUGCAUAGUUGAUCUUUGGAGGGUGAUGUGCUCUCUAGAGUAGAAUUCUAAUGAUACAGAGGCUAUCUUAAUCAAAACAAAAAUAGGGAUUGUAUUAGAAAGACUUUGUGGACAUAUAAAGACAUUGUUAAUUGAUUUUUUUUAAAGAGAGAAUGUGAAGGCAACAGAAGGUAAUGGGGAAUAUUUAAUAGAGUUGUAUGAUCCUAUAACAUUGAGAGCAAAGGUUCAGAAGUAGCAUCAUUCAAAGGGGCAUCCACCUAGUUCAGGAUUAGGGGUAAAGCAAUAAUACCACUCAGGUCAGAGCAGGUAUAUUCACUUUUGAAGUUCUACAUUUCAGGGAAGGACAUUGAUAAGAGCAGAAAUAUAACCCAAGAAGAUUGAUCAGAAUAUUGGGUGGAUCUGAACACAUUUUUUUGCAGUGAGGAGAAAUCUUUCUUUUAUCCCAGUAGGGGAAAAAAUGAAAAUAAAUCCCUAUAACAAAUAUACAUUAUACAUACUCAAAUCCCCAUAUUGGUCAGCAUACACAUAUAUACUUACAAACAUGAACAAUAAACAUAUAUGCAUCUCUAUUCAUAUAUGCAUAGCUAUACAUAUGCAUGUGUGUGCAUAUAUGUAAGUCAUUUAAUAUGCUAAUGUUAUAUACAGUCUUAUAACAUUGUCUAAAAAUAUAGUAGUAGUCUCUUGGUAACCGAGGAUGACGAUUGUCUUUGUGCAUUUUUAUCUAUGAUACAUGAGUGUGCACAAAAACACUUGUGCGUGAAGGAGAUUUAAGUGGAAGAGUCCAUGCACAGAGACAGUCCCACUCUCUCGGCGUUGGAAGCCUGGGUCCAGUGGCACGAAAAGUCGUUACACCUGGAGACUUCCUCAGCUGCAUUGGAUGGCCGUGUUGUCUUUUGUGCUCCAUCACGCCCUAAGCACUCCACAGUGCUUUGCUGCGUCGCCCUCUCAGCCGUUGAACCUUCUUAUUGGUUUCUUCCGUUUCUUCCGUCUCUUCCGCCGAAGCAGUCUUCAC